AUAUUUACUUUGAUAUGUGUAAUAAAAAAAUGAAAAAAAUAAUCUGUUCUCAUCAGUUUAAUAUCUGAUACAUCCCCUAUCUGGGGACCAUAUAUUAAAUUGAUUUUUCAAACAGGGAGAUGGAAAAAGAGCUUGCUCUGUCUACUCCACGCAUUGAUUUGGUAUUGCAGUACCGCAAGGACGAUGCACCCCUU